rnacentral:lncRNA from 1 species
UUCGUCAACUUAAAUUGGCCCAAACCCAACCCCAGCCCAUGUAGCUCACUACUCCAGCUGGCCAGUUUAAUCAAUUGAAGAUUUUUGGCUGCAAUUGGGAGGCUGCAAAAUUUGUGAAUCCAGAGCAACGAUGGAUAAAUAAUUCUCGAAAUGUGGGUUCCUCAUCACGUGUCCCACUUUCAUCCUUAUAUUUUUGAUCAAGGUUUGUGAGGUUUGAGUUCUGUGAGCAAAAUUAAGCUAUCUUAUCUACUAAUCUCAUGAGAUGGAGCUAUGCGGAAAUUUUGAGUAAUUAAAUUUGGCUUGAAAAUAUACACUUACAACAUUGGUAUCAGUUCAAUGAGAUCCAAUCAAUGUAGUUUAUUUUUUUGAGAUUGGAAAACUUCAUGCAAAGAGUUUUAUAGUUAAUUUGGUUUCACAAUAUGUAUAUGUAUAUGUAUAUGUAUGUAUAUAUAUAUAUAGCAUUGUUUUGCACACUCAUUACUAUGGUUUUACCUACCUAAGACCAAAUAUAUACCAAUGAUUUCGCAAUCUGUUUUUUAGGUUUUACUUCCUACCUCAACUUCUCUGUAAUGGUGAUAUUUGUUUAAGUUCACAUUCUAUUUCCGAAAUUAUCCACAAAACGUUCACCAAUAAAUUAAUAGAAAUAUUUCAGGCAUCACAUAAAAGCAUUUGUCAAAUAAUAUUUUUGAGGUUUCCCAGAUACCAC